UACAGAGGGUGCGAGCGUUAAUCGGAAUUACUGGGCGUAAAGCGCACGUAGGCGGCUUGGUAUGUCGGGUGUGAAAUCCCCGGGCUCAACCUGGGAACUGCAUCCGAAACUGCCUUGCUCGAGUAUGGGAGAGGGAAGUGGAAUUUCCGGUGUAGCGGUGAAAUGCGUAGAUAUCGGAAGGAACAUCAGUGGCGAAGGCAGAUCUCUGGGCCGUAACUGACGCUGAGGAGCGAAAGCGUGGGGAGCGAACGAGGA
rnacentral:rRNA from 1 species